rnacentral:lncRNA from 1 species
AACCUGCUCUCUCGGGUCCUUACACCCCUAUGCAACCCAUUCCAAAGCGUUUAAAACACUUUGCAAAGCGUUCCAACUCAUCCGACUCCGCGCUUCGCUCGUUUUGACGGAAGCUCGGCACAACUUAUUGGGGGAAUUCCAUAUGUUACAUUCCCCACCCCUUAAAAAUAGUUUCGUCUGCGAAACUCGGAUCCACACCACAGCUCCACUCAUCACUCAGAUGAGGACAAACCCACGUGCUACCUUACGAGUCUCCAAGACCUCGUACUUGACGCGCUCGCUUCAGCGCUUAUCAACAUACAAAAUCAUACCAUUCUGUAACAUCCUCUCCUCAUGAGUCCAGAAUGCACAUUAAAUACAUUUCACAUGUCGCUUACGCAUGCAACGGUGCAUUCUACUGACUAGGCGGCAAUGCCAACAUUCGUGCCACCGCGCCCACGCACUCCCAAAACUCUCCAGGGUCCAAUGCAUCGAGAACUACACUUUCCUCGACACCAACACACCCUAUACCACAUGGGUAACAUUCUCAAGGACAUCGCUUUCCUUCGCGAAUUCAAAACCUCGUCGGCGC